GAUAAACGCUGGCGGCGUGCAUAACACAUGCAAGUCGAACGAUGAAGAUUAAAAGAUUUCUUCGGAAUGAACUUAAUUGGAUUAGUGGCGGACGGGUGAGUAACGCGUGAGUAACCUGCCUUGUACAAGGGGAUAGCCGUUGGAAACGACGAAUAAUACCCUAUGACAUCAAAUAAUCGCAUGAUAAUUUGAUCAAAGAUUUAUCGGUAUAAGAUGGACUCGCGUCUGAUUAGCUAGUUGGUAGAGUAAAAGCCUACCAAGGCAACGAUCAGUAGCCGGCAUGAGAGAGUGUACGGCCACAUUGGGACUGAGACACGGCCCAGACUCCUACGGGAGGCAGCAGUGGUGAAUUUUGCACAAUGGGGGAAACCCUGAUGCAGCGACGCCGCGUGAUUUAGAAGGCCUUCGGGUUGUAAAAAUCUUUUGUAUGGGAAGAAAAUGACAGUACCAUACGAAUAAGGACCGGCUAAUUACGUG
rnacentral:rRNA from 1 species